rnacentral:rRNA from 1 species
GACGAACGCUGGCGGCGUGCUUAACACAUGCAAGUCGAACGGAAAGGCCCUGCUUUUGUGGGGUGCUCGAGUGGCGAACGGGUGAGUAACACGUGAGUAACCUGCCCUUGACUUUGGGAUAACUUCAGGAAACUGGGGCUAAUACCGGAUAGGAGCUCCUGCUGCAUGGUGUGGGUUGGAAAGUUUCGGCGGUUGGGGAUGGACCCGCGGCGUAUCAGCUUGUUGGUGGGGUAGUGGCUUACCAAGGCUUUGACGGGUAGCCGGCCUGAGAGGGUGACCGGGCACAUUGGGACUGGGAUACGGCCCAGACUCCUACGGGAGGCAGCAGUGGGGAAUAUUGCACGAUGGGCGGAAGCCUGAUGCAGCAACGCCGCGUGCGGGAUGACGGCCGUCGGGUUGUAAACCGCUUUCGCCUGUGACGAAGCGUGAGUGACGGUAAUGGGUAAAGAAGCACCGGCUAACUACGUG